CUGGAGCGAAGAGGGGAAGGCUGUCGUUGGUCCACAUUCGGUUGUUCGAUUUCUAGUUGGCACUAAAAACGACAUCCAAUGUGGACUGUGCCAGACGACCGUUGAACACGUCGCCAAUUCUAUUGGUUGUAAAGCUGUCUUUGAUACGUCAGCCAAAACUGGUCAUGGAGUUUCUAAUCUUCUAGAGAUUGUUUGCAAAUGUCUAAUUACUGAACAAAAUCAUGAACAACAGGAAGAGACGAAUUCUAAAUUUAAUCUGGAUGAUCUGGAGUUUCAUAGUAAGACGAACCAGUCUGCUUGUUGUUCCUGACGUCUAUCAUUCAGACUGAUACCGAGAUGCAGCAUGGGACUACACAUUGGGGAGUUUUGCGAAUAAAGUUAAUCAGUCGUCUGCUGUUUGUUUACAUUUUGAUGUUAAGAACGCUACUUUCGUUUAGAUAUGUACUACAGUAGGCUAAUCAAGAAAAAGAACGCCAUAUGGAGAAAUUGGAGGAGGAUGGGGGGUAAGGGUCCUAAAGAAAAACGUAACAAAAUGAAAAAAGAAAAAUCUGAGAGGUUUUAAAAUAGACAACAAAAGCAAUGUCAGGGACGCUCAAGGGAAAGAUCACUGUUGCCAACCAAGAGUAGCAGUAGAUCGCUUCAACCCGCUUGUUUUUCAAUAUUUUUUUUAGUUGCAUAAAUUGCAUAACUGCCUAAAUGCAGACGCUAAUACUUUCUCCAUAUUGAUAGUAUUUUGUGAUACAAGCGGAAGAGAAAGGAACUUUGAUUCUACCCUGCUAAAACUACAUAGAUUAUCUGAUGUAGGCUUAUCAACUCUCACUCUAGUCUUUACACCAGAUACGCCAGUAAGCUAGCUAUUUAUAAUUAUCCGCCAAAAAUGAAAAUCUAAAAAAAAAAAGAAAAGAUGAAGAUAAACAAUUAGAAUAGCGUAGCGUAGAACGUGUCUUCUUGAGGAAACAAACUCUCAUGUCCUAGACCAUGUGAAUGGUAAGUUCAGCGAAAGUAAGGCUUGACGCAGUAUAACAGGAUUGAAACUAACACCUUAUCUUAUCGACUGUCAAAUUAAAUGAUGCGAUGAUCCAGAGUUAGUUCAACUGAGAACCUUAAAGUCUUUUUUAAACAAAUGUCUAUUUUGUUUUCUGUAUUAGAAAAAAAGAUUCCUAUCAAUAAUGCUUUACUUGAUCAAACUUUUGUUGCUAAUGUAUAAAUAAAAUUGAUUUCUAACUA
rnacentral:sRNA from 13 species